GGAUAUCAAAGCCUGGGUUGUCUGGGUCACGUGGUCGGAGACCAGCGGUUGUUACCGAAUCCAGACAAGGUUAAGGCGAUUCUCGAAGCACCACGACCAGAAACCAAAUCACAAGUUCGAUCAUUCAUCGGGUUAUCUGGAUUCUAUCGCAAGUUCAUCGCAAACUUUGCUGCUAUCUCGGUUCCGUUAACAGACCUUACAAAGAAAGGCCAACCCAACAAGGUGAUCUGGAAAGAGCCCCAAGAAGAAGCCUUCACGACUUUGAAAAAGAUGCUGUCUUCAAGCCCAAUCCUUAAGCUUGCUGAUCUCGAAGCCGAUUUCACUCUUAGAACAGACGCUUCGGAUACGGGAAUCGGUGCCGUCCUUCUACAGGAGGAAUCUGGUGUCCUACUUCCUGUUGCGUAUGCAAGCAGAAAGCUAAAGGGAGCAGAGAAAGCUUAUUCUGUUGUCGAGAAGGAAUGCUUGGCGGUCAUCUGGGGAAUUUCAAAAUUCGAGCGAUAUCUUUACGGACGCGAAUUCAUCAUCGAAACUGACCACCAGCCGUUGGUUUAUUUGAAUAAACUGAAAGGAACUAACUCACGGCUGAUGCGGUGGGCAUUGCUUAUGCAGCCAUAUAGGUUUCGGAUACGUGCUAUUCACGGGAAGGACAAUGUUGGUGCAGAUUGUCUCAGUCGUUUGUAAGAAACCUAAGAUUUCGCAUGUGUGCUCAAGUGACAUAUGUAAUUUCGUCAAGCGUGGACAAAGACUCUAGCUAUCAAACUGACUAUGCUAUGUAUGUGUUGAAAUGAAAUUCUCAAAAUUUCAUUCUUCUAGUGGGGGCGUGUGUUACAUACCAUGGUACUUUACUUUGUUUGUAUUUCACGCUCAAAGACUUGUACGUGAACCGGAUGUGUGACCGGAUAUAGGACAAAGGACAUUCCAGAACGUGCGGUGUAAACACGUCAACAUGCAGGUGUAGCGGCACAACACCGCGGCUACUUACUCAUUUAUUGGACAUAAAUACGCAAACUACAGCUUGCGUUUAACCCAUUGGUGAGGAUAGACCAUAAUGUGGUGUGGAUGAUCCUGGAAGGAUCAUGGUCAGAACAGUGUCUUGACAGGGACAUAUGCCAGACCGAUGUGUGGUGGAGCGAGGUGGCCUGGGUACUGUGGUUGCGACUCACAGCCAGAACCUUGAUAGACAGCCAUGAGUGGUAUUCUUUUCUGGCAAUAUAAAAAUUGUUCGUGAUGAGGCUUGAUGGUGCCGUCUUGUGAAGAGAACUGGGUUCUUGUUGACACUCCAUGGUGGAAAUCUGCCCACCAGUGUAGACUAUUUAGGUGACCUCAUAGACAGUGAUGGAAAUCUGCCCAUUCCUUGAGUGAACCAUUUAUUUGUGAUAUAUGUUCUUAUUAAAUGUGUGAAAGUGAGUGUGGAUGUGCAGUUGUUCAUAGUGUAUAUUGUAAUUAAAUGUUGUAAAUAAUGUAAA